rnacentral:tRNA from 2 species
CGGCGUGUAGCGCAGCUUGGUAGCGCAACUGGUUUGGGACCAGUGGGUCGGAGGUUCGAAUCCUCUCUCGCCGACCA